rnacentral:rRNA from 1 species
AUUGAACGCUGGCGGCAUGCCUUACACAUGCAAGUCGAACGGCAGCACGGGAGCAAUCCUGGUGGCGAGUGGCGAACGGGUGAGUAAUAUAUCGGAACGUGCCCAGUCGUGGGGGAUAACGUAGCGAAAGCUACGCUAAUACCGCAUACGAUCUAUGGAUGAAAGCGGGGGAUCGCAAGACCUCGCGCGAUUGGAGCGGCCGAUAUCAGAUUAGGUAGUUGGUGGGGUAAAAGCCUACCAAGCCUUCGAUCUGUAGCUGGUCUGAGAGGACGACCAGCCACACUGGAACUGAGACACGGUCCAGACUCCUACGGGAGGCAGCAGUGGGGAAUUUUGGACAAUGGGCGCAAGCCUGAUCCAGCAAUGCCGCGUGCAGGAUGAAGGCCUUCGGGUUGUAAACUGCUUUUGUACGGAACGAAAAGGCUUUCUCUAAUACGGGGAGCUGAUGACGGUACCGUAAGAAUAAGCACCGGCUAACUACGUG